CGAGGUGUUGCACAGCCCGGUAGUGCGCUACGUUCGGGACGUAGAUGUCGCAGGUUCAAAUCCUGUCACCUCGACCA
rnacentral:tRNA from 1 species